rnacentral:rRNA from 1 species
GAUGAACGCUGGCGGCGUGCUUAACACAUGCAAGUCGAGCGAAGCACUUUGGAAAGAUUCUUCGGAUGAUUUCCUUUGCGACUGAGCGGCGGACGGGUGAGUAACGCGUGGGUAACCUGCCUCAUACAGGGGGAUAACAGUUAGAAAUGACUGCUAAUACCGCAUAAGACCACGGUACCGCAUGGUACAGUGGUAAAAACUCCGGUGGUAUGAGAUGGACCCGCGUCUGAUUAGGUAGUUGGUGGGGUAACGGCCUACCAAGCCGACGAUCAGUAGCCGACCUGAGAGGGUGACCGGCCACAUUGGGACUGAGACACGGCCCAGACUCCUACGGGAGGCAGCAGUGGGGAAUAUUGCACAAUGGAGGAAACUCUGAUGCAGCGACGCCGCGUGAAGGAUGAAGUAUUUCGGUAUGUAAACUUCUAUCAGCAGGGAAGAAAAUGACGGU